UACGUAGGGCGCGAGCGUUGUUCGGAUUUAUUGGGCGUAAAGAGCGUGUAGGCGGCCAGGUAGGUCUGCUGUGAAAACUCGAGGCUUAACCUCGAGAUGUCGGCGGAAACCAUCUGGCUAGAGUCCGGAAGAGGAGAGUGGAAUUCCUGGUGUAGCGGUGAAAUGCGCAGAUAUCAGGAAGAACACCAGUGGCGAAGGCGGCUCUCUGGGACGGAACUGACGCUGAGACGCGAAAGCGUGGGGAGCAAACAGG
rnacentral:rRNA from 1 species